rnacentral:lncRNA from 1 species
GACUCACUGUUCAGUCCCUUGCAGAGUUUUUUACUAGGUCACCAGAACAAGCCUCAUUCAAUGAAAAUAGGCUGACUUUCACGGCCCCACAAUCACCUAGGCAAUACUUUAGUUUCUGCCUUUUCCUUUUCUUACAGUAUUAAAAAGAUACCCCAGACAGACAGACACUGUCUUAACAUAGGUUUGACUUUAGCUUCCACUUAGUAAAAUUUGGAUUUCUAAAAACUACUAGAAUAAUACUGCUUUGUAAAGGUUUCUAAAGUAAUUUCUAAAGACUAAUAACCCUCUACUUCAGUCUCUUUAAGCUUAUUUCUAUUAUUCAUGGAUAUAAAUGGACCUUCCUAAUUUACAUGAAUAUUCAAAUGCUUUGAUCAUCCCAGUUAACCUUCUAGAAGCUUAAAUGAAUUUUAAAAUGUUACAGAUACAAAUUCUCUAUAUACUUGUGUGAUUAAUUAGAAACCAAGAUAAUCCAAGUAUCUGUAAUAAAAAAAUAGUCAAAAGCGAAACAAUUCCCCUAGUUAUGCAUUUCGCCAACUUUAUCACCAAAUAGUUAGUUGAUAUGCAAGAUUUCCUAAGCCUGAUCCCUUUGAAUGUGUGUGAAAACUUCACCUGACAAGAUCAAGACCUGAACAUGCUCUCAAUAUGACCUCUGGACUUCCCUGGAAUUGGGAACAUCUGUAUGCCUAUUUGUUGUAGAAGGAUAAAGGGAUGAGAAGUGACUUCAGAAUGUGUCCACAGUGGAGUCUCUCUCAACAGACUGGAGUAAGACUGGAGCAAGGAACUUUUGCAGACAUUAGAAGGCUGAUGGAGAAGACUAUUGGCAAGAACUACCAGGCCCUCCUAAGAUGUUGACUCUUUGCUGGCAGGACCAGAUGUUCCCGUUUGACUAAGGAGAAUGAACUGAAAAUGGUUGUCUGAUGAACCGUUGCCAUUUGUCUGGCCAUGAAGGUUUCAUGAAGUAACCACUUGGUGUUCUUCAAAGGAAGAGAAGAUAAGGAUAUCCAAGUAAUCACCCUCAUUUAAUAUUUAUAUUAUGGGCAUAGUCCCAGUAGGAACAGGUGAGUGAAAAUAGAUGAUAUAAAUCAGAGAAGGGGAGUGUUCUUUACCCUCACUAUUUCUUUAAAAGGGAAAGAAUGGGAAAAAAGGAAGAGAUAAAGCUUAUUUGAAAGCAUCAUUUUCCAGGGCAAACUGAGUGUUUAUAAAAUUGAGAACAGUCUAGAAACCUUAGACUAGUCUUGUCUGAAAUGAGGACUGAAUUUCUGAAGACAAGAUACAAACAGCACAGACAUACUAUCUGUUGAAAACACUAUACUGAAGCUAUACAAUUGAAUAAUAAUAAAAAUUAUUCUUUAUAUAUAAAACGUUUCCCA